rnacentral:lncRNA from 1 species
AUUUUAUGGAAGACACUAAAUUAGUCUUUCCUUUACCUUUGACAGGUGAGAGGCAGUUCUUGCAUGACCGGUGGCUAUCACCAUACAUUCGCUACAGAUUAAAAGCAUGAAACAGCAUGGAGAAACACAGGAAAGCUUGUCUCUGCAGUCAGGCAAAGAUGAGGGCAUGAAGAUGUAUAACUGUCCCAGGUGUGAGACGAGUACAGUUUACCCUCUCAGGAUUUAUAACAGCUAAGUCUGGCGCACGAGCAUUCCUGGCUUGGACUGCAGCAGGAGCUAGGGUGGGUCAGAGAGUGCUCCAAUGUAUGCUGCCAGCAGUAGGAGCUGAGGGACUUUUUGAAAGCCUGGAGAACUUGACCAGAGACACCUCUAACUGUACCGUCUCCAAAACCUCGCAUGCAGAAACCAGCACAGAACAUGUGAUUAUCUACUGCUUAUAGGAUCUAAUAAUCUCUGGCCUCUCUGUAACGCUGAUAACUCAUUUUAUGAAAAGGAAAAGAAGGGACAACAAAUGUGAGACUUUAAAGGCUGGAAAGAGGCAAACCGUCUAGGGCUAAUCUUCAAGGAAAAGUGGUUAUUUGUGGAUCAAAGUCUGGAAAAAAAUGAAGUUAAUUGAAAGGUAGGCAAUAAAUGAC